rnacentral:rRNA from 1 species
CACGUAGGGCGCAAGCGUUGUCCGGAAUUAUUGGGCGUAAAGAGCUCGUAGGCGGCCUGUUGCGUCCGCUGUGAAAGCCCGGGGCUUAACCCCGGGUCUGCAGUGGAUACGGGCUGGCUAGAGGCAGGCAGGGGAGAACGGAAUUCCCGGUGUAGCGGUGAAAUGCGCAGAUAUCGGGAGGAACACCGGUGGCGAAGGCGGUUCUCUGGGCCUGUACUGACGCUGAGGAGCGAAAGCGUGGGGAGCAAACAGG